GUUCAGGACUUGUACCUAAAUUUUGGCCUGCCCAUUGCCUGCUUGUUUCAUGAAAAUAAUAGUAUCAUGUUCUGCACACAGUUGGAAACUGAAGGGUACUGAGGAGAGGAGAAAGGUGGGUCAGAGCCCCAGGUGUCUCCAUAGCAGGAUAACUUCAGCAAUGAAGAAACCUUGAAGUCCUGGCCACUGCUUUGCGAUGACCCCACAGGUCUUCUUAAGAUCUUUCCCAACAGGAGGAGGUGAAACAUCA